rnacentral:lncRNA from 1 species
UUAUCAACCCUAUUAGCCAAAGCCAUGACCAAACAGACAUCAUCAACCAUCAUUAAAAAAGGCAUGAAAAAGUCAAUAAAAAAGUCAAAAUAAAAUAAAUAAAGUGUGGAAUAAAAUAAAUGGUCAAAAAAUAAUCAAGGUGUAUUCACAAAAAUUUUGGAUUAAAAAUAAAAUGAGUGGUGAAAUAAAUAAAAAUGAAAUGAAAGAAAAUAGGUUAAAAAUGACAAAAU